ACUCCUCCUUCCUUUGGUGAAUUUGAAAUCUGAUGGAAAUCGUCUUGUGAAUUUGAAGUCUUGUGGAAAGACAUGAAGUUUAUAACAUUUUUCAAUCAGGUGUCCAGGUUUCUUACAAUACCUACACACUAGGUUUGCUCUAUUGGGAUCAAAAUUGAGUCUUGGGUUGAAUUGUUUAGGAUAACCAGUUGCUGUGGGAAAUCUAGUGAUGGAGGGUUUAUUGAUGUGUAUGUUGCUGAAAUGUUAGGUUUGCUCUAUUGGGAUCAGAAUUGAGUCUUGGGUUGAAUUGUUUAGGGUAACCAGUUGCUGUGGGAAAUCUAGUGAUGGAGGGUUUGUUGCUGUGUAUGUUGCUGAAAUGAGUAUUGAAGGCACUCGAGUCAUGAUGAAAUUGAGAAGGUGAAGAUACUUGUCUUUGUCUCUCAUCUUGGAGUAGGAUAUUGUAUGCAUAAUCCAGAGUUGGUGGAGGCUGUAGCAUAAGAAUAUUACUUCUAACUCCCACAUAGAUGUCAUUGAGCCCCAUAAGGAACUGAUGCAGUUUGUUUUCAUCAUCCUCCGUUUGAAGCUCGGUUCUGGCAUUGCAUGUGCAAGUGUUGCCACGAGAUGCACGCAUGAAGUUCAGUUCAUCCCAUAGUUUCUUCAAUUUAUUGAAAUAAGAAGCUAUAUCCAUAGAACCUUGAUUAAUUGAUGCCAGUUCCUGCUUAAUCUCAAAUAUCCUGGUUCCAUUCACAGUCCCAUAUCUGCUAUUGAGUUGAUUCCAAAUGCUUUGAGCAGUGUCGGAGUACUGAACACUCUCGGCUAUCUCUGGUGCAAGGGAAUUAGUAAGCCAGGAGAUGACCAUGUUGUUGCACCUAUUCCAUUGGCUAAACUGGGGAGAGUUUUCUGGAGGUUUGGGAAUGGUUCCGUCAAUGAACCUAUUUUAUUCCUAGCGGACAAUGAGACGAUUAUAUUACGUCUCCAACCCCUAAAAACCAACCCCUGAAAAGUGGUUGCUCACCAGAGAAAUACCCGGAACAUCAGAAGAUAAAAGAAACAAAGGAUUUGAGGGGUCGAGUACAAAAGUAUCAGUCCUAGACUCAGAUGCAUCACCAACAUUAACCAUUUUUGACUGAGAAAGGAUUUUGGGCCUGAAUUUUGGAAGACUAAGAAAUGCUAAGUGUUCCUAGGUAAAAAAAAUCCAGAAAUCGACUGACUUCUACUUUUGAACUGAUGAGAGAAGUAAAGAAACUCAUAAAAGCUCAGGAAAAUCAACAAUAACCGAAGGAUGAUGAGAAAAAUGGAGAGAAGAGAAAAACCUAAAUUUGUCGGAGAAGACUGAAGCUUUGAUGAGAGACGGUGAGGUAACGUCACAACGGAGGCCGUGACAUGCAGAAUCAUAUUCCCUGCUCUGAUACCAUGUUAAAACUGUUCAUCUCCAUGGAUGAACACUGUAAACUUCAGAUAAUAGAGAGAAAAAAAGGAAGAGAGAAGAAAGAGUUUAUUGAUAAAAAUGAGACAUAGUCUCUGUGUACAUGUCCAGACAGAAGCUUCCGGAAGAAGUAUAUACGAAAUAUCUAUACUCAUUAUUUCUAUACAUGAAAAAUGAGAUAUAGUCUCUGUG
rnacentral:lncRNA from 1 species